AGAAGAAAAAUGGAGGCUCUCUUCGCCAAUCCAUCUUUCUCCUGUCUCAAACUCUCAUCCAAAUUCUGUUAGUAGUGCCGCUUUCUCUCUCCUCCCAAAUUCUCUACUACCGAACUUCUCAUCAUCACUCUUUCAACAUCUCAUUCUCAAUUGUCGCCUCCUCAAUUCCAAGACUACGAUGAAGACGAAUCCUACGGCGAGGUCAACAAAAAAAGGCAAGAGGAUUGAGAUCCGUUUCCAUCGUACCAUCUUGAUUUAGGUCGAGAGGAACAUGGGAAACAGGGGAGCUAGCUUGAUCUGUGUUUAGCUACUUAAUCUUUAUGAGGAUAUGAUGGAGAGAAUGAAGGUUGGAUAGUAUCAAGGGUUUAUUGGCAGGGUAAAUGUUAUCAUUCCUUGAUAUCAUUCAUCCCAAAUUGAAAUCCUAACUCUUUCCCAAAUUAAUUACAUAGAAAUAUGAGGAAGAAGAUCAUAGAUCUAGG
rnacentral:lncRNA from 1 species